rnacentral:rRNA from 1 species
UACGGAGGGUGCAAGCGUUAUCCGGAUUCACUGGGUUUAAAGGGUGCGUAGGUGGGCAGGUAAGUCAGUGGUGAAAUCUCCGGGCUUAACCCGGAAACUGCCGUUGAUACUAUCUGUCUUGAAUGUUGUUGAGGUUUGCGGAAUGGGUCAUGUAGCGGUGAAAUGCAUAGAUAUGACCCGGAACACCUAUUGCGAAGGCAGCAGGCUAAACAAAUAUUGACGCUGAGGCUCGAAAGCGUGGGGAUCAAACAGG